AAGGACAGCGGUUUUAAAAUAAGCUCGCGCUCGAGUCUGAGCGCUGUGCCAAUGCCUAUCGGAGCGAGCAGUCGGUGCGCGCUCUCCCUUUCAGCAGUCGUUGAUCGUGCACCGUCCUCGCAACAACCGUGCUACUGCCACUUGUCCUCAUCGUCGCUCUAUACGACGGUUCUCGAGUCGGUCGGUCUUCGUUGCUCGACGGUACGGUAGGAGCGUAGAGGAGGCGUUAAUAGUCGCGAUUAAUUACACGCCGGUGCAUAUGUGACACGUGGUGCCGGUCGGCCGGUGGUGAUGUAUUAUUGGCUUCCACGCGGAUGAUUUAUUGCAGAGUUCACGGAUACGCGGUGUGUAUAUACGAGUAUAUCGCGUAGUUCACGUUUGACACCUCGGCCGUCCUCACGGCUGUGCCCGGUGUGCGUGCGAUAUAAGGUUACGGAGAAGGUGAUUUUCCUUGAAGGGAUACUCCCGUGUCAACUGCGUACAACAGCGGCAAUCGUGGAAAAAUAACGAGUAAUCGAACGGAAACGGUGUGGUGAACGAUAUAUCCAUUGAAAGAAAGAAAG